rnacentral:rRNA from 1 species
GACGAACGCUGGCGGCGUGCUUAAUACAUGCAAGUCGAACGGAAAGGCCCUGCUUUUGUGGGGUGGUCGAGUGGCGAGCGGGUGAGUAACACGUGAGUAACCUGCCCUUGUCUUUGGGAUAACUUUAGGAGACUGGGGCUAAUACCGGAUAGGAGCUCCUGCUGCAUGGUGGGGGUUGGAAAGUUUCGGCGGUUGGGGAUGGACUAGCGGCUUAUCAGCUUGUUGGUGGGGUAGUGGCGGACCAAGUCUUUGACGGGUAGCCGACCUUGGAGCGUGACCGGCCACAUUGGGACUGAGAGACGGCCCAGACGCCAACGUGCGGCAGCAGGCGGAAACAUGGCACAAUAGGCGGAAGCCUGAGGCAGCGACGCCGCGUGCGUAAUGACCGCCUUCGGGUGAUAAACCGCUUUCUCCGUUAACGAGGCGUGAGUGACGGUAACGAGUAAAGAAGCACCGGCUAACUACGUG